UACAUAGGGUGCGAGCGUUAAUCGGAAUUACUGGGCGUAAAGCGUGCGUAGACGGUAGCGUAAGUCAGAUGUGAAAGCCCCGGGCUCAACCUGGGAACUGCAUUUGAGACUGCUCUGCUCGGGUGCGGAAGAGGGAAGCGGAAUUUCCGGUGUAGCGGUGAAAUGCGUAGAUAUCGGAAGGAACACCAGUGGCGAAAGCGGCUUCCUGGUCCGACACCGACGUUCAGGCACGAAAGCGUGGGGAGCAAACAGG
rnacentral:rRNA from 1 species